rnacentral:rRNA from 1 species
GACGAACGCUGGCGGCGUGCUUAACACAUGCAAGUCGAACGGAAAGGCCCUGCUUUUGUUGGGUGCUCGAGUGGCGAACGGGUGAGUAACACGUGAGUAACCUGCCCCUGACUGUGGGAUAACUCCAGGGAACUCGGGCUAAUACCGGAUAGGAGAUCCUGCUGCGUGGUGGUGGUUGGAAAGUUCCGGCGGUUUGGGAUGGAUUGGCGGCUUAUCGGCUUGUUGGUGGGGUAGGGGCUGACCAGGCCUUCGACGGGUAGCCGGCCUGAGCGGGUGACCGGCGACAUUGGGCCUGAGGUAGGGCGCAGUAUGCUACGUGACGCAGCAGUGGGAAACCUUGCACAAUGGGCGGAAGUCUGAUGUGGCAGCCCCGGGUUCGGGAUGCCGGGCUUCGGGUUGAAAACCGAUGUGGAAUGUGACGAAGAGUGAGUGACGGUAACGGGUAAAGAAGCACCGGCUAACUACGUG